rnacentral:rRNA from 1 species
GAGUUUGAUCCUGGCUCAGGACGAACGCUGGCGGCGUGCCUAACACAUGCAAGUCGAACGGAGUUGAAAGGAGCUUGCUUUUUUCAACUCAGUGGCGGACGGGUGAGUAACGCGUGAGUAACCUGCCUUUCAGAGGGGGAUAACGUUCUGAAAAGAACGCUAAUACCGCAUAAGAUUGUAGUUUCGCAUGGAGCAGCAAUCAAAGGAGCAAUCCGCUGAAAGAUGGACUCGCGUCCGAUUAGAUAGUUGGCGGGGUAACGGCCCACCAAGUCGACGAUCGGUAGCCGGCCUGAGAGGGUGAACGGCCACAUUGGGACUGAGACACGGCCCAGACUCCUACGGGAGGCAGCAGUGGGGAAUAUUGCACAAUGGGGGAAACCCUGAUGCAGCGACGCCGCGUGAAGGAAGAAGUAUCUCGGUAUGUAAACUUCUAUCAGCAGGGAAGAAAAUGACGGUACCUGACUAAGAAGCCCCGGCUAACUACGUGCCAGCAGCCGCGGUAAUUC